GGCUAGAUAGCAGAGUGGUUAUGCGAAAGAUUGCAAAUCUUUUUAGAUUGGUUCGAUUCCAAUUCUAGCCU
rnacentral:tRNA from 1 species